rnacentral:rRNA from 1 species
GCGGUAAUUCAAGCUCCAAUAGCGUAUAUGUAAAUUGUUGCGGUUGAAAAGCUCGUAGUUGGACUUCUGGCGACCGCGUUCGGUCCGCCAAGCGCGUGCACUGUCCGCGGUCGUCGUUCCUGUCGACGUGGCGCGUCGGCCUUAGUUGGUCGGUGCGUCGUCUGUCGGCGAUGUUACUUUGAGGAAAUCAGAGUGCUCAAGGCAAGCGUUCGCUCGUGACUUCACUAGCAUGGAAUAACACAGAUGGGCUCUUUCUCGCACUGUUGGUCUGCGUCAAUUGAGCAACGAUCGAUAGAGACGGUCGGGGGCAUUCGUAUUGCGCAGUUAGAGGUGAAAUUCUCCGAUCUGCGCAAGACGCACUAAUGCGAAAGCAGUUGCCAAGGACGUCCUCUUAUGAUCAAGAGCGAAAGUCGGGGGAUCAAAGAUGAUUAGAUACCGUCGUAGUCCCGACCAUAAAUGAUGCCGACUGAGCUUCGGCGACUCGACCUCAGGUCGUACGUCGGCGCUCUUAGAGAAAUUAAAGUCUUUGGGCUCCGGGGGUAGUAUGGUCGCAAGUCUGAAACUUGAAGGAAUUGACGGAAGGGCACCACAAGGCGUGGAUGUUGCGGCUUAAUUUGACUCAACACGGGAAAGCUUACUAGGUUUGGACACCUUUGUGAUGGACAGAUUGAAGCUCUUACCCUACUGCGUGGAUGGUGGUGCAUGGUCGUUCUCAGCCCGUGGGUUGACCUGUCAGGUUUACUCCGGUAACGCGCGAGACCUCGGUCUGCUAAAUAGACGCGGCUGUUCCGGCACCCGCGCUCUUCUUAGAGAGAGACUCGACGAGAGUCGAGGGAAGUCGAGGCAAUAACAGAUCUGUGAUGCCCUUAGUUAUCCUAGGUCGCACGCGCCAUACAAUGUGGCGCACAACGAGUCUCCUUGGCCGACAGGAUCUGGGCAAUCUGGCAGAGCGCUACGUGACUGGGCUAGACUUUUGUAAUUUUUGGUCUUGAACGAGGAAUGCCUAGUAAUCGCAGGUCAGCAUCCUGCGAUGAUUCGGUCCCUGCCCUUUGUACACACCGCCCGUCGCUCCAUCCGUGGCAUGCGCCGGUGAAGAGGGGGAGGCAGCGUCGACCGGGUAACACCGGAUCGUACGUGGAACCCCUCUGAACCUUCGCACGUAGAGGAAGGAGAAGUCGUAACAAGGUUUUCGUAGGUGAACCUGCGAAAGGAUCAUUAUCGGCAC